rnacentral:rRNA from 1 species
CGCAUCUGUGCAUGCAGCAUAUCAAUAAGCGGAGGAAAAGAAACUAACAAGGAUUCCCCUAGUAACGGCGAGUGAAGCGGGAAGAGCUCAAAUUUGAAAUCUUAAAGGGUUUCCCUUUACGAAUUGUAGUUUAAAGAAGUGUUUUCUGUUGAGGUUUUGGUAAAAGUUCUUUGGAAUAGGACAUCAUAGAGGGUGAGAAUCCCGUAUUUGACCUUUACUUCCAACUUUGUGAUACACUUUCAAAGAGUCGGAUUGUUUGGGAAUGCAGUCCAAAAUGGGUGGUAAAUUUCAUCUAAAGCUAAAUAUUGGCGAGAGACCGAUAGCGAACAAGUACCGUGAGGGAAAGAUGAAAAGAACUUUGAAAAGAGAGUUAAACAGUACGUGAAAUUGUCAAAAGGGAAGCGUUUGACACCAGUGUUGUUUUUCUGAAAAUCAAUUAAAGAACUGUUUAUGCUAAGUUGUUUAGACUUUAUCAGCUAACUGUUUAGUUUUGAGCUUUUCUUUAAUGCACUUUUCAGUUAACAAGUCAACAUCAAUUUCUUCUGCUGUAAAAAAGCUUGAGGAAGGUGGCUUGAGAUUCGUCUUAAGUGUUUAUAGCCUCUUGCCUAUGCAGUCGGAGAGAUUGAGGUCUGCAGCGUAGAUCCUUCGGGGCUAAAUGCAUUUGUGCUAAGUUAUAGCAUUUUAUAGACAACUUGUUGACUAUGAUUUGUCUUGUAGCUUACCUCGCUUAUGUUAUUUUACCUACGCUUAGGAUGUUGACAGCAGUAUAGACUGU